AGCAAUGAAAUAAGAAAAAUGGAAGAGGAGUAGGAGAAGAUGGCGACGUGAAAACUGGUGAAAGAAAAUAUUUACUUUAGCUUUCCUUUUCGAUCAAUGCUUGGUUUUCUAUGUAAUAUUUACGAGAUGGCGGAACAGGACAUGCUGUGAUGGUUUGGUAAAUGUGGCGUGUGUGUAAAUGUGGUAAUUUGGGGAUUAUUUAAGUUUAUGAGUGUGUGCAUACAAUCUGUCACCACCACUACCAUCAACACCACCGCCAUUCCCAGCCACAUGUGUGAUUGUCUGAUUGACAAAACAAUAUGUAUAACAGGAGGGAGACUACAAUUAAAUCAUAUCAUAAACAGGUAAACGAUUCUUUGGCUUAAAAAAAAAAAAAGUUAUUUCUCGUCUGCCAUUGUUGUUGAGUGAAGCGGACGUGAAGCGUGAAUGAAACAGUUCGACUCGUCCUCUGCUUCAAGAAUAUGUGGGUAAGCCGGAGGGGCCGAGGGCGUCAGUGGCAGCCAGACGACGGAGGAGGUACUACAGAGGGCACUUACUCAUCUCCUCUGCUAACAAGACUCUCCGGCCUGUCAGCAACUGCUCCUUCUUCUCCUGGUCACAUCCAAACUCCUCCAGCACUUCCUUGAUCUCCUUCUCCAGGCGCCGCGCUGCAACAACAUGAGCAUUGUUCAUCACACUCAGCAAGUGCUAGGCAUGGAAGAAAGUGUGUUGUGGUGAAGGCAGUAAGGUACGUUGUGGCACCCGUCCUCAGCUGAACCAAAGUGUAUGGUUCAAAGCAGCAUAACUGAAUGUGUGGCAAUGAGGAUAUAAAUGAAAACCCCACAAUAGAUUAUUAUCAAUUUAAAGUGUUGAAAGAAAGGAGAGAAAUACACGAGUUGCUAAGAAAAUGUAGACAUGAGAUGGAGAUACUGUAUAGGCAAUGCAAUGAAAGAACAGUAGGGAGAGUGAGUUGGUGCACUAUGGUCUGAGGAAAGAUCUCUUGGUGCAUAAGGGAAAAGUCAGUUGCCUGUGAUUAGAAAAGCCUGAAAUGGUUUGAUGAGGAUUUGAGAGCAUUGCGUUGGAGUUCCUCAGGUUCGUACAAUGACCUGGUCCACACCCACCUUCCCUGUUCAUGACCUGCUGGCGGAGAGCAUUGGCCGUUAUCUUGAACAUCUGCUGGAUCCGCCAGAAGAGCACCACGUCAUUGCACUCAACCUGAGAGAAGCAGAAGGGUGAGCUAAGGUGAUGCUGGCAAGACUGUGUGAAGAGGUAAAGGUGGGUUGCUGCAGGUUGUCAGUGCAGGGAUGCUGCUGCUGCCACCACCACUGUACAAGAAAACACUAACCACCACCAAUGUUACUAUCACCUGUGUGUUAGACUUGCUGGCCAGCUGUAAUGCUGGUGAUGAGCUGCUUUGUGUGAUAAGAGUUCGAAGGACUCCCAACUUUAUUUAUUUUUUUUUAUAUUUUGUGUUCUGGUGGAAGGAGUGACUCUUUCUCUGGAGUGUCUUUGAAGUAAAUUUUAAGGAUUUUGCACUAAUAAAUCAUACUGCAUUAAUUUUUCCUUUCCUCAUAUUACAUUUAUCUUUUUUUUUUUUUUUUUAGUAAAGCUUAUCAUAAUCUCAAUCUUUCUCUCAGUAAACUCACUCCCAACACCUCACUCUCCCAUUCCACUUCUCAUCCCCACUCUAUAAUUUGGUAUCACUCCUACUCAUCACUCUACCAUCACCAUUCCACUCCUUUCUCAUCCCUCCGUCCCUCUCCGGCACUCUACCAUCCCCAGUACUGACCCCCA